rnacentral:rRNA from 1 species
CAAACCGGGAGAUAGCUGGUUCUCCCCGAAAGCUAUUUAGGUAGCGCCUCGUGAAUUCAUCUCCGGGGGUAGAGCACUGUUUCGGCUAGGGGGCCAUCCCGGCUUACCAACCCGAUGCAAACUGCGAAUACCGGAGAAUGUUAUCACGGGAGACACACGGCGGGUGCUAACGUCCGUCGUGAAGAGGGAAACAACCCAGACCGCCAGCUAAGGUCCCAAAGUCAUGGUUAAGUGGGAAACGAUGUGGGAAGGCCCAGACAGCCAGGAUGUUGGCUUAGAAGCAGCCAUCAUUUAAAGAAAGCGUAAUAGCUCACUGGUCGAGUCGGCCUGCGCGGAAGAUGUAACGGGGCUAAACCAUGCACCGAAGCUGCGGCAGCGA